AUGUUGACGACGUAGUGGACGUUACUGUCGGUUAUCCAGCACCUUGGAGCAGAAAAACAUCUCAGUAAAGGAAAGGAAACAGCUCUACUGUAUGAUUGGUUAUAGAAAAAGAGUAUGUUUUGGCUUAGCAGUCAUACUUAAAAGAAGUCCCCAGCUACAGCUACAGUUGUUCAGCAGAAUGCUGCAAUGCGGUUUUGCUGUAAACCUCCAGAAAUAUCCGCGGACUAUGAAACCUCACUGGACUUUCCAUCAGCAUGAGGAAGGAAGUGCAUGAAGAGGACUAUGCCGAGGAAGAACAUGGACAACCCGCAGCCAACUUGGGUGAUGAUGGAAUCGGAACACGGCUGCAAAUGGUACACUAACGUUCAUGCUGAGAGACUGCUUAAAUGCUUCUUCUGGCACUGCAAUGGAUCUUGAAAAUACAUCCAGUUUGUCUUUGCUGUCUACCAUCUGAAGGGAAG